CAGCGGGCAUGAUGGCCGUCAGCGGGACGAUGGCACGAGGCAGCUGGUGGCACCCGUAGUGUCCUCGCACAAAGGAGAUCCCCUGGCAAGAUGGAUGGUCCAAAAAGUUACACUUUUGAAUUCUACGUUCAAGGCAGAGUGACCUCUCAGAGGGACAAUGGAGGGAUGCUAAGGUCCUCAGCAGCAGCAUCCCAAAGCAGAUUGCUGAGGACUGCGACAUCCAGUGUACUGCACCUUCUGAAUAAGACGUCUAGGGAAUGAAGUUCAUCUCUUCAAGUACUUUGUACAAAAGAUAACACAGAGACAGACUCAAAAGGGUCUGAGAUUUGCAAGUAUCCUCAUAACCUCAGCACUUCUGCAAUAAAGCAAUUGCUCGCGACGGCUCCGUCUGCCCAAAGCGAUUACAAUUUCGGUUCAGGAAAAAUCAUCAGCAACAUCAAAGUUCUGGCAUUUGCAUGAUAAAUCAGGUGAAUUAAAGUAGAUUAGUAGACACAAAGCGAA